UACGUAGGGGGCAAGCGUUGUCCGGAUUUAUUGGGCGUAAAGAGCGUGUAGGCGGCCCGGUAAGUCCGCUGUGAAAGUCGGGGGCUCAACCCUCGGAUGCCGGUGGAUACUGUCGGGCUUGAGUACGGAAGAGGCGAGUGGAAUUCCUGGUGUAGCGGUGAAAUGCGCAGAUAUCAGGAGGAACACCAAUUGCGAAGGCAGCUCGCUGGGACGUUACUGACGCUGAGACGCGAAAGCGUGGGGAGCAAACAGG
rnacentral:rRNA from 1 species